AGAGAUGAUGAGACGAUCAGAGCCAAGAUCCAGAAGAACUGAACUCCCAUCCCCCGAGUCCUGCGGCAGGAAGCGCUCCUUCUCUCCAAGAACGCCUGGACCCUGCAAGCUGGUCCAGAACCAGAGUCCCAGUGAGGAGUCCAGCCAGUCCACCUCUCAGAGUUAAACUAAACUACAACAUUAUUAAAGAUCAUGUUUAAAGUUAAAAAAGGAUGCUUUCAGACUGAAUCCAGAAGUUUCUCAAGCUGCAGUCAAAGCAGGUCAUUUGAGAAAUAUAUAAAACAAUUAUUUUCUUGUGUAUUUCAUAAACAGGAUAUUUGAUAUUUUUAUAAUAAAUAUUAUUUUCUCAGCUCUGUGAUAAAAAAACAGAUUUUUAAAAUAAAUAUCCCACUUCUUGUACUUAUAUCCUGAUUGAUGAGUCAGCAGUAAAGCAGCCAGGCGUUAACGGUCAGCUGGCAUGUGUAUCUGUUCAUUGGCUCAUAUGUGUAGCAUGUUUAAU